rnacentral:RNase_P_RNA from 1 species
AAAGGGGAACAGGCGGUCGCGCUGGCCCGCUGUAAAGCGGGCGGUGAGGAAAGUCCGAACACCGAAGGGCAGGGUGCCGGGUAACGCCCGGGCGUCGUGAGGCGACGGAAAGUGCAACAGAAAAUAUACCACCACCUCACCCCCCUUACCCCCCUCUCCAUAUGGAGAGGGGGGUAAGGGGGGUGAGGUGGUAAGGGUGAAAUGGUGAGGUAAGAGCUCACCGCGCCGGCAGUAAUGCAGGUGGCAGUGUAAACCCCACCCGGUGCAAGACCAAGUAGACAGCCGCUCAAGGACUGCCCGUCCAAGGCUGUGGGUAGGUCGCAAGGAGGUGUAUGGCAACAUGCAUCCAAGAUAGAUGGCAGCUUAAACAGAAUUCGGCUUAUGAUCCCCUUUUUUA